CUGUCCCGCUUCCUCCCGGUUCUUUCUUCUCUGUCUUUUCCCUGGCUCUUAGAAAAUCACGUAGUCUACUUAGAAGGGCCUCUGGAGAUCUUCAGGCCCUCUUCCCUGCAUUUAUCCAGGGCCCAUCCUGCCCACCCCUCCAGAGCACCCCAUCCUCCCCCAAACUGCUAAGGACGCAUCUCGCGCUGUGCCUCAUGCCAGUGGAUACAAAGUAGGUAGGGCCUCCCAUCUUCCUCAGGUCUAACCCAACACUUCUUGCUGCGGUUUAGGGAUGAGGCCAUCUUCUCUGUUUUGCCCUUCAAGAGGAUGCAAAAGGCUCUUUUUUUCUUCCUCCUUCCUUUUUCCACUCUCUGUGUUUAUUUUUUCGUGAGUGUCCUAAUUUAUCCUUCCCCAGGGCUUCAGAAGUUACCCCCACCCUUUCUCUCCCUCCUCCCAUCUCUGUCUUUGUCUUUAGAUGGGCAACUACAGAUGUUUCCCAUACACAGCCCGCCCCAACUGUCCGCCGGACCCAGUUGUCUCUGUCACACUGGGCGCCUACUUCUGGUGGUGAGCCCCGCUCCUGCCUCAUGCAGCCUGAGUGGUUGGGGCUAGCGAAACGCUGCAGCUGAAAUGGUCUGCAGGCUGGAUCCUGCGGGCUUUCCCGCCCAGCUGUCUGCAUGGGGAGAAGUACGAUUUGAGGCUGCCCUCCUGGCUCCUCUGACAAAAUGCCAGAAAUCCCUGGGCCUCUGCCCAGUCCACAGAACGGGUCCCACUGGUUCUCCUUGCCCCGGACCUCUGCCCCUGGGCUGUACUGGCCCCUUUGCCCAAAAAUUUCCAGGGCAGGCCGAGGCAAUCUGCCUGGAAAACAAACCCUGUGCUGAGCCGCGGCAGGGUGGGCCAAGGAGUUUUCGUUUGAUCCAAAAGCUCCCAGCUUGGACCAAACCUCAUAAAUCAGGAGAGGAUUUUGGGUUGUUAUUUUAAGAGCAGCCUGUCUUCUCUUGUGCUGGCUGCCUCCCUGCUCCUCCUCAGCCUCCCUCUCUCCCCUCUCCCUCUGAGAGUUGGGGAAAGGUCAGGCACGGAGAGCAGGCAGGCAGGGCCGGGAGGAAAGUGAUGGGCUCAUUUAGCAGGAGCCAUCUCCCUGCCUGGCUGUGUCCCCUGACCUUCGUUCUGACUAGAAGACCUCACUGAUGUCCCAGCCCUGCCAGUCUGGGGAAGUUACGGCCUUGUGUGUAGGGAGCAUCUUCCAACAUUGCCAGCACCCUCAUUUCCAUGAAUCCAUUUCGCCCCAGCAGCCCUGGAUGGGGUGUAGUGGGGAGAGAGGCCCCAGGGGUCCCAGAGUCAGCUGUGCCCAUGCUGGACUCUCUCCCAGUGCGCUGGCUCCCCAGGCCUCUGGAGUUGGCCCCGCCUAUGGGACUACCUGCUUAGAGAGCACGCCUUCUGUGGAUCCAGAGAAGGACUCCCAGAAGCUUCCACAUCCUGGUCUCUUAUGGAGGUGCCUGAGAGUACAGACUCUGGUUUAAAAUCUGGCUCGACCCCUUAAUGACCGUGGAGCCUUGGGCAAGUUACUCAGCUUUUCUGUGCCUUAGUUUCCUCACCUGUAAAACAGUGGUAACGAUGGGGCUGUUAGGAGAACGAAUUGAUUACCCUUUAGAAAGCGCUGAGAGCAGUGCCUGGUCCACAGUCAGUGCCGUGUGAGUGUUGGCUAAACAAAGCAGUCCCGGCCCUGAAAUCUAGGACCACACGGCUCCCAACCUUCUCUCAGGCAUGGAUGGCCCAUGGCUUCCUGGCCCUGCUCCUCCGGGCCGUUCACCUGUUCAACAAGUAUUGACUGAACACUUAUCAUGUGCCUCUGUGUUCAGCCUUGGGUUUGCUGUGUGAACAAAAUAAAAUGGUCCCUCUGCUCAUGGAAUUUACAGUAAAUGCACAAAUAAAUACAUAAUUUCAGUGUGUAUGUAGUGCAGUGUGUGGUCCACUGUAGAGGAAGAAAAGACUGGGAUAUCAUGCCAGAGAAUAACAGGGCAAAUCCACUCAGGGGCUGGAGUCUAUGAGCACCUACACGAGGAAAUGGCAUUCAGCCCCAGACCUGAAGGAUGAGGAGUAGCAGCAAUAGUGGUUGGAGGGGGAAGAGCAUUCUGACAGAGGGAACAGCCUGUGCGAGAGCCUUGGGGCAAGAAGGGGCGGAGCAUGUAGCAAAAACGGAAGAAAGCUGAGUGGCUGGACCCAGUGAGUGGAGCUGGGAGAGAGGAGGCUGCAGAGUGAGGGCGGACCAGGGUUAGGAGCUGGGGUCUCAUUCCACGUAAAGUGUGACACAGGGAAGGGCUCUAAGUGGCACAGCGGCACGGUCCCAUGUUGGGUGUCAGAGCCCCCUGUGGCUGUGGUGUGGACAGCGGCGUGGUGGUGAGGAAGUAGAGAAGAGGGUAGUUAGAAGGGUCUGCAGUGAUCAAGGGAGAGGUGCUGGAACCUUAGAUUGGAGAAGUGCCAUGGAUGGAGAGACCUGCGUCCAGCUGAGGUGUGUUUUACAGGAAGUGCCGGGCUUAGAAAUGGCACGUGUGGGAAAGCUGCUAGGAUUUCGGGUUGUUAAGCUCGCUGUGACUCGAGGGGCCAGUGACAGGUGGAUCUGGGGGGAUGGAUUUGAGGGUGGUAUCAGCGAUGACUGCCCCCGGCUGUGGCUGGAGCCCCUGGGUAGAAGAAGAUGGAGAAUGUGAUGUUCCCAAACGCUCCUUUCUUCAAUGUGCCUAAACACCCUGUUUUGAAUGUGCUCAUUUUACCCCUACUGAAGACUUGGGGUGAUGGUCAUAGAAAAAAAUGGAAGACUUCUGAAAAUAGGUCCUUUCUAGCGCAGAGUGGAGAAUGACUGUUGCUUCCUUGUCCUAAGUCCCACACUUCCGUCUUGGAGCGCUCAGGGUCUGGAUCCAGAUUAAUCCAGGCUCCACCACUGACUAGCUAUGAGUUCUUGAGUAAAUUUCCUAAAUCUCUCUUGUCUCCAUUUCCUCUUCUGCAAAAUGGGGAUAAUAGAGUGGUUCCUACCCCAAGGUUGUUUUGAGGACUGUGCUGAGCACACCGUAAACAUUACCAUUCAUACAUCCGAAGGGCGAACGUUCAUUUCCGCCAGCAGCUUGUGUCACAGUAAGAUUAUCAUCCCCUAAAAUCCUAAAAGCUUUCCUAUACAAGCCAGUUUGAAGCCCUGCUUCCAUCAUUCCAUGUUCCUGCCCUUGGAUUUUUAAACUCAAGUUCAGGGCCGGACAUUUAUCCCUGUUAAAUCUCAUUUUGUUAGACGCAGUCGGUGGCGCCAGCCUGUCGGUUUCCUUUUCCUUUGAUGAGGGGAAGGUCCUGUGAUGCGUGCUCGGUUCAUUUCUGUGGCUCCCAAGGCAUCCACGGAGAGUGCCUUUGCCCCCUCACCCCCCGGGGAGCGGCCUGGUCUUGGGAGGUGGAGCAGGGCCGGGUUGCGGCUGAGCUGGAGCUGGGGAUACAGCUUAACGCUGCCUCACCUGAGGCGGAUCCGGCACAGCCAUCCUGGCUCCCUGCCCUCAAGUCCAGCCCUGGCUUUGGGUUUUGAGACGUAGGGUCAGAGGGACUUGUUCAAUGUCACUUAGUGGGCUGGCCAGUGACACAGGGCUAGGGCUCGGGCCACAGUUCAGAUCUCACUCCAAAGGCCCCACUAUGUUAGGUUCUCACCUCUUUCCAAACCACUCGAUCACAUUCCCUGAUCUCGGCCAGAGAAGAACGCGGGCCGGAGGGACAGAGAGGUGCAGCUGCAUAAAGCCGUCUUUCUUCUCUUGCUUCCACAGGGGCCCCUGGGUCUACCAGCCUCCCUCCCACAUACUGUUUUCUCUGCUGGGCAGAGCAGCCUCUUCCACACUGCCUGGGGGGUUUGUGCUCUGCCCUACUCUUCUGCUCCUCUGACCCUGUCCAAAGUCCCUGUCCUCACCUUGGAGGUGGUCUCCUCACAGCAGACGGGGAUGGCUUUGAUGUUCAUGCUCGACUGCGUGCAAUACAGAGCCUCCCUCCUGUGGGACUCUCUCUGCCUUUACUUCCUGAGGGCAGGUGGGUCUCCAUCAGGCUGAGAGCUCCCCGGACAGAGCCUGUGUAUCCUGGGAGUUCUCAUCCUUCUCCCCCUGCUCUCCAAGCACCUACUGGGCUCUGUUCACGGAGGGAGCUGAACUUGAAGGCGACCCUGGCACUUAGCAAAGGCCUGCAAAGAGAGCCAAACCUGGAAGCCUGGUGAAGCAAUGGCGCAUUCAUUCCACGGUGCCCCCGGACUCUGGAGAGCGGGGAGUGGAGGGGCACAUUCAGACGCCAGGCGAGUGCGGCUGUCCUCCCGGCCAGGCACAACAACAUGCUUCGGUUCAGCUGGAAGACUUCACUAGCCUCCAGAACUGAUGGCGCCUUGGUCCAGUGCCUGCCACCGUCUCCUCCUCCCCCGUUAAUGCACUCGUUGUUCACUAUGUGUGCUGCGAGGUGUUUUUCCAGGUGGUGGGUUCCAGGGGGAAUUGAAUUUCCCUAACAAGCAGGCUUGCAAAUAACUAGGCAGGGCCGGGAGCGAGAGGAAGGCAGCUCCUAUUAGAUUCUAACAGUGGCAACCCACAGCCCAACCCUCCCGGGAGCAACCUGCCCAGACUAGAGCAUGGGGAAGAAAUUCUAGAAGCAUCUUCUUUCCCAAGUUUCCCAUUCCUCAAAUAGAUCUUGGUUAGUUUUCUCUGCCAAUUUGCUGGUUUGGCUUGGAGAGCAUGGGCGGGGCAGGAGAAGGGCUGAAACAGAGGAUAGAGAAGAAGAAAAAGAUAAACCCUUUAUAUUUGUGUAAUGCACUGGCCUCUCUCCUCCAGGAUAUCCCAGGACUGUAGCACCUCUGAGGAUUGCUUUGUGAUGCACACAGUCCUCAUCCUCUGUCCAGGCCUGGACUGUGGCAGGGCAGCGAGGCCCUGAGGGGGGACUGUCCUGUCACGCCUCCUCAGGAGCAGGAUUAGGAGAGCAGAUGUAGCCUGUUCUCGGGAGGCUCCUCCCCCUCUGCCCUGCACGCUGCCGCCUGAACGGAAGGGCAGGCUCAGAGGCUUCCUCAGAGCCCUCCUCCCACUACAGAUGCGUGGAGCAUAAGAGGUCACCUGCUCCAGUCUCCAGCCUCCAGGCGGGAAAAUUCCACAGCUUCCAGAGCGGACAGAAGACUCAGGGCUGCUCUUCAACCAAGACGGGGCAAACGUCAGAUAUAAGAGGGGCCUGGGGCUAGGACCUAUUGAGGCUGCUCUGUGGUUUGGUGGCACGCUGCCUCGUGUCAUCAGGGGUUGUCAGCUGCUGCUCUGGAGUCUAGGAGCUGACCGUUCAGGGCUCCAGCAGCAGAUUGGACCCUCUGUGACAGCAUUUAUCAGCUGGGUUGGGAGCCUCUGCCCUUCCCUCUUCACCAGGCGAUGGAGCUGCCUGAGGGAGAUGACCAGGCUUCCUCCUCUGACUGGCUGAAAGCGUCUCCAGGUCUCUCAGGUCAGAAGGCCGCAGAGCAGGCUCAUGGAGAUGAAGGCUUAGGAGACGACAGGAGAGAAGAAAAAGCCAACACAUGGAAGAUGGUGAUGGAGAAGGAUGGAGAAAGCUCGGGUUUUUAAUGAAAUCACAGAGCUCCCAAACUGUUCCUGAGGAGGCAUUGUUUCCCGAUUUCCUGUUGGUAAACCAUAAAUGUUGCUACAGGGUUUAAGUUUGCCACAUCACAGAAGCCUUGCGAGUGUUUCUGCCAUGUUCUCCUCUGCAUGGAGGAUGCCCUGCCCGUGGAACAGGGACAGUCAUGAAGAAUGGCCAGAGGACCCUGGACUGAAUGAUUCACCAGAAGCAGGAGUGCCUUCUGGAAGUCUGCAGAAAACUUGAGAUGGGCAUUAGACUUUGCAAAAUCCAGGCAGCGACGAUGGUUCAAGGCAUAUUUCCCUUGAUCUUCAGAAGAGUGUGACUACCUCUGGUCUCGUCUGUGGUGUCUCAGUGGCAGUAUGUGUGUAAGAAGGGGGAGGUUUCCGUGUCUGUAUAGUUGCUGGCUGCAUUUGCACCCAUACUUAAAGGUGUGGGUGUUCAUGUGCUUCUUCUGCUUUUGUGUAGGGAUAUUAUUACACAUUGUAUCUUUGUUGGAGAUGCUGCUAAAUGUUCAUGUGAUCAUACUUUUCUUCCUCACUGAGUCUUCAUAGAGGGAAACUGAGUCCCUUCCCACACCUUGAGGAGUAGAGGCUUUCCCAGGAUCUGAGCCCUGCCAAGUAACAUGCGGUCCCUGCUCCCAUCUUUCCUUCUCGUGCCCCUUCCCCAUUUCUCUGACUCCUUCCUCCAACACUAAGAAGAGCCAAGGCCCUUAACCAAGAGCAGGAAAAUAAAAAUCAGGUCACCAGA